CCGCAUCCGAUCCGCGUCCCUUCCCAGGGGCCGCGCGGGAGCUGACAGACACGGGGCCGGGGGGACCCAGUCAACUCCGCACCGGCCUGGGGCGGCGGGCUUCUCUGGGGGCGCCCCAGACCCUUGCGGACCCUGAGUGCCCACUCUGGUGGCGCGGCCUGCAGAGGCCCCCAGCCGAUGGCCACAUGCCCGGCCGUCCAUCCACAGGUGCCUGGGUCUGGGCCGCGUGUCCGAUCCCACCCCAACCAGGUCUUCCUGUGGAGGGCCUGCCUUCGAGGACGAACCUGACCCCCUGGGGGACCCCACAGCCUUCACUUCCCACCCCUACGCUCUCCACAGCUGACGCACUCCCUGCGGCUUCCCUGCACCACCCCGGGGAACGGAGGCCUUUGGGUUCCAGACUUGCAGACAUGGUGAUUUGGGGCCCUGGGGUCAGUAUCACCAGACUAAAGUCUUGGUGACCUAACACAGCGCACCUAGGGCUCUGUAGCUUGGUGAGACCCAAUGCCCGACCAGGCGGGUGCUGAGGACUGAGGGAGGAAGACAUUACUUAGAGAUCUAGGCUUUUAAAAGAAAGUACUUCAUAAUUAGUCAUAAUUGUCCAUUAAUAAUAGCUAACAUUGGCCGGGCGCGGUGGCUCACGCCUAUAAUCCCAGCACUUUGGGAGGCUGAGUUGAGCGGAUCAAGAGGUCAGGAGUUCAAGACCAGUCUGGCCAACAUAAUGAAACCCCAUCUCUACUAAAAAUACAAAAAUUUAGCUGGGUGUGGUGGUGUGCACCUGUAAUCCCAGCUACUUGGGAGGCUGAGGCAGGAGAAUUGCAUGAACCCAGGAGGUGGAGGUUGCAGUGAGCCAAGAUCGCGCCAUUGCCCUCCAGCCCGGGUGACAGUGAGAGACUCUGUCUCAAAAAAAUAAUAAAAUAAAAUAAAGAGAAUUAAUUGUAACACACCCCUAGAUGGUACCACGAGGCUGGAGUCCAAAAGCGCUUGUCCUGGCCCUCGCACCCACUCGCCUGCGUGCUUCCCCUCCCACAAGGAGUUAGAGCGUGGUGCCAGAUUGUGAAGUUAACAAACUAAGGAGAAGUCAGAGGUUACAGAGUUGGUGACAAGCAGUGCUGGGUGAGAGCCCCAGGAACCUACAAAGGCAGCACCAACAACUGCCCUUACUACCCUUUGCUCAUCCUACUCUGUGAGUCUCUCGCCCUUGGCUCUUAGGAGCGCCUGAUGAAUCUCUCUCUCUGCAGUGGAUUUCGUCCUUCCACACUUUGAUCCAUCAUCCAUGGUCCCUUCCCCAUCCCCAGCCCCCACCCCCCCCAUCCUAUCACACCUUUGGUCCCAAGCACUAAGAGGAAAGAGCAGGGGAGGCAUGGAAGAGAGCUGACCAGCCUCCAGGCCCGUGGGCUCCAGGACCCUCCUUCUCGACAGAGGGCUCUGAUCGAAACUCU
rnacentral:lncRNA from 10 species